rnacentral:rRNA from 1 species
GACGAACGCUGGCGGCGUGCUUAACACAUGCAAGUCGAACGAAGAGCGAUGGAAGCUUGCUUCUAUCAAUCUUAGUGGCGAACGGGUGAGUAACGCGUAAUCAACCUGCCCUUCAGAGGGGGACAACAGUUGGAAACGACUGCUAAUACCGCAUACGAUCUAAUCUCGGCAUCGAGGAUGGAUGAAAGGUGGCCUCUACAUGUAAGCUAUCACUGAAGGAGGGGAGUGCGUCUGAUUAGCUAGUUGGAGGGGUAACGGCCCACCAAGGCGAUGAUCAGUAGCCGGUCUGAGAGGAUGAACGGCCACCUUGGGACUGAGACACGGCCCAGACUCCUACGGGAGGCAGCCGUGGGGAAUCUUCCGCAAUGGACGAAAGUCUGACGGAGCAACGCCGCGUGAGUGAUGACGGCCUUCGGGUUGUAAAGCUCUGUUAAUCGGGACGAAAGGCCUUCUUGCGAAUAGUGAGAAGGAUUGACGGUACCGGAAUAGAAAGCCACGGCUAACUACGUG